GGUUUUGAGUAAUCGCGGUUUGCAAUUGUAAGCUGAGGAAAGUCCACGCCGGCAUGAGCUGUAAUGCUCAUAGUGUUCGUGUUCAGCCCAAUAAGCUGGAGUACCUAUUUGUUAGGUAACGGCAGUGAAAUGGCUAAGGUAUUUUCAUACUAAGUCAGAGUAGCUUGAAAGUGCCACAGAGACGGAUUUUUUUGGAAACAAAAAAGUGGAACGGGUAAACCCCACGAGCAGGAAACCCAAACUUUGGUAGGGGAGUUUCAAUUUAGGGAAACAAACUUGAAUUGAAAACACAUUUUGUGUAGAUAGAUGAUUACUGAAGGUUAAUGUGAGUUAGGUUAACUGGAACAGAACGUGGCUUAUAGAA
rnacentral:RNase_P_RNA from 1 species